UUUAUGAAGAGUUUGAUCCUGGCUCAGGAUGAACGCUGGCGGCGUGCCUAAUACAUGCAAGUCGAGCGAACGGACGAGAAGCUUGCUUCUCUGAUGUUAGCGGCGGACGGGUGAGUAACACGUGGAUAACCUACCUAUAAGACUGGGAUAACUUCGGGAAACCGGAGCUAAUACCGGAUAAUAUUUUGAACCGCAUGGUUCAAAAGUGAAAGACGGUCUUGCUGUCACUU
rnacentral:rRNA from 1 species